GAUUAUGCUGUGCCUAAUGUUUUGUACUGUAACCUGCUUUUUCUUUUGAUGUAUCUGAACAUCAUUCCAAAUCAAUAGAUAUCAAUCCAUUUCAUUAUUCUUAAUGUCUGCGUUGUAUUUUGCUUCAUGGAUAAUGUAUUUAACUGUAAUUCAUACGGUUGGAUAUUUUGAAGUUUUCACUGUGAAAAACAGCAGUGACGUGUACAUCUUUACAUGCAAAUGUGCAUUUGAGAGGUUAUUUCAAAAGAAUAAUUUCUCAGAAGAGUAAACACCCAGAUCAAAGUGAAGCUUUUCAAGGCUGCUGCCAAAGGGCCCUUGGGAAAAAUUGUGCCAAUUACAUUGCCACUAGCAGCCCAGGGGAGUGUGCUUUUCUCAACAUUCUAGAGUGUUUUUCAAAUCUUUUGACUCACUGGAAGACAUACAUUUUGUAUAGUGACCCACUUACACACACACACACACACACACACACACACACAAGUAUAACUGAAAUAAAUUUUCAUAUUUUCCUGACUAGGCGCAAUAAAUUUUCUCUCUUUUCUCCUCUUCCUUUUCUUUUCAAAAACAUUUUUUAAAAUACCAGAUACGGUGGGGUUAAGUUCAUGAUCCAUGAAUGGGUAGUAACUCAUGGUUUGAAAACACACUCUGUUAAUGCUUGGAUAGUAGGAUUCUUUUUAGUAUUUGCCUAUUUGACAAUAUGAGAUGAUGACGAGUUAUUAUCCUAUUCUUUAAUCACUAGAGAGGCUGAGUAUUUUGGAAAAUUAUAUUUUUGGAGAGAGUAAACUAGAGUUCAUUGUUUCUCAACCUUUAGUGCAAUUAGAAUUUUUAAAAAGAAUCCUUUAAUUAAUUUCUGGACCAAAUAAUCUCUAGAUUAUUUGGCUCAGGUAUCAAAAUUUGUGGCUAAGGCUGAGAACACAUGCCAUAGAUUACUAAAAUUCUUUUAACUGUUCAAAUAGACUCUGUUUUUGCCCUUUAAACACCACAUAUUUUAAAAACAUCAUAGUCAUCUGAAGGUUAAUUCAGGGUUAAGUAUGGAGUUAGGGAAGGAUUCUAAUUUUGACUUAUGAACUGUUAGCUGCAUAAAUCACAGUUUUUAAAAUCCAGUGCAUAUUUGGGUCUUAUUCAGUGGUAAAUUAUGGUGAAGAGAUUCACAUUAUGGGAGAUAGUUUCGAUUCUCAUGAAUAUAAUUAUACUGUGGGAGAACCAAGGUACUAUUUAGUAUUUCAGAGUUCCAUCAGAUAGAGAGUUCCAGUUGCCUACUGGAAAUUCUACCUAGAUGGUCCUCUGAAACCCCAAAUUUAAUGUGUCUUGCCAAUAGAGUUCUUAACUCCCUCCUGCCUUUUCCCAAACCCAUCUUCCUUCCUCUGUUUAUGGCCCAGUGGACAAUAAUAUGCUUUGCAAUAAGACAGAGGUUUCUUUACAUUGUGGAUACUGGAAAUGUACCAUUUGGUGGCCCAAGCCAGCCUGCAGUAAUGCGGAUGGGGGUGAGGCAGUAGUCUGCUGGCCUGAGCCCUGACCACUGGGAUUUCAGCUCUGAAAGCUGGAGAACGCCAGCCUGGGACAGCGCUCCCUCCCUCUCCCCAUUUUCUUUCUUUUCUUUUCAUACAGAAUCUUGCUCUGUUGGCCAGGCUGGAGUAAAGUGGCAGAAUUAUAGCUCACUGCAGCCUCAAACUCCUGGGGUUCAGUGAUCCUCCUGCCUCAGCCUCCUAGACCUACAAGUGCAUGCCACCACACCUAGCUAUUUUUUUUUUUUUUUUUGUAAAGACCCUGGCCUCAAGUGGUUCUCCUAUCUCGGCCUCACAAAGUGCUGGGAUUAUAGGCAUGAGCCACGGCGCUCGGGCCCUCUUCCUGUUUUUUUGUUUCUCUGUUGUGCAUGGAGAGGACUGCAGGAUAGAACAGACACUCACAGGUGGUUCUUAGAGGACCAGCCUCUGGUACACAGGACUGCAGUGGGGACAUAAAGACAGCGGAGUAGUGAGUCUAUAGCAGAUGUUAUCUGAAUGACUGGAAGAGGUGAGAGAUUUAAAUGACUUCCCAAAGGGCUGGACAAAUUGAUGCACGGCAGGUGACUAAGAGGAGCUGGGGUUGAGUCAAAGGUGACCAUUCUGGUCUUUCUACAGUGUUUGUCCUUGGUGUGCUAUUGGUCAUACUGGCAAUUCCCAUGUCUCCAGGUUUCUCUAUUACUGCUCCUUUAGAAGAGUGCCAGAGUAGAAAAAGCUUUAACCUUGAGCAAGUUAUCUAACCUUUCUAUUUCAUCUAUAAAAUGGAGUAAUAAUAUACUGUUGGGUCUGUGAAGUCCCAGCACAGGGCCAGGCCCUUGAUAGGCACUAAAUAAACGACAGCCCUUUAGAAGGAGCCAGCUGUGAUGGUCAGGAUCAGACCCUCUCCACACAUCCAGGUAGGCAAGUGCCCGAGAUCUCAGAUGGUCAAGUGGAGUGCCCGGCAAGGGGGCUGGAGAGUGGUGGGGUGGUGGGUGGGCUGUGAGUCAGCCCAUGGUCCCUGUCAUAUUCUCCUGCGGUGUCCAAAGUGCUCCCCACUAGAGCAGCACAGCUCUGCAGAGAUGCAGAAGAACAGUUACGGAUCCAGUCAGAUGAUGGAUCAGCUGUUCGGCUUUUACCUGCUGUUCACCCAAGUUUACCUACUUAGAAAGAGAAGACUACCAGCAACCUAGAGAAAGAAUAGAAAGUCCAGCCACCUUCCAGGCUUUGAGUCUCAGAUUAUGGGAGUGUGGAUUUUCCUCUGGUUGUCCAUGGUCACUAGAGGUCAAUGAUCAAGUCAUCCAACCCAGACAUCGUUAUUUAGAGCUGGAAAACAGAAAACAAGGGAGCACUACAUCCUGUUGGGUCACAUCCUGUUCACGAUGACAGGAAGCAGGGCAGCAGACCAAGACGGGUAGAAAAACAUGACGCUUACAAGGCAUUUGCACGCUAGAUGUGCACGUGUGUUUUGGUAUACAGUUUUUAAAGACACUGUGAAUCAAUGCCCAUAUUACGCUUUUGGAAAUUCUCAAGUUUCUUGUCAAAUAAAAUUGGCUAAAAGCCAAGUCUUUAUUAUCUGACUGUGCUGGGCCUAAAACCAUGCCAAUUUAAGAAAGAGAAAAAUAUCCUAUUUGCCAUCUGAAAACUGAUCACAAAGGCACUGAGUGUUUCCCGCAGGAAUAGAAAUGCAAUGUUGGGAAAUCUCAGUUACACUCCUAUUUUCAGCCAUUCCUUCCUCAAAAUCCUGCUCAAGUCUAAGAGCAAGGAUCCUACUUGCUAACUGCCGUGUGCUAGGCAGGGUGCUAAGCACUUUAUUCAUGUAUCUAAUUUAGUCCUACUACGCCACGAGAGAGAUACCAUCAUCCACACUUUACAGAUGAGCAAAUGGAACCGCUAGUUAAGAAUCUUGCUCAAGGUCACAUCGGUAGUAAGGGAUGGAGCCAGUGUUCUCACACAGAUAUUUGCAGUCAGCCCUUUCUAAUUACAGAUCAGGCUCUUUUGCAACACUGCACUGCCUUUCAAUGUGGAGCCUGGGAGAGAAAUGACAGAAAAAGAUGUGUUAGAGUGGACUGUUUAUUCUUUGAAUGAUCUCUGUCUCUCUCUUUUUGUUUAUUUUUCUUUUGUUUUUGAUGCUUGAAUUUACUGUCACUGCCUACAAACUGGGGACAUUCAUUAUUGGAUAUUACUGGUUAGAGAGUAUGGUUUUAUGUAAUAAGGAAAGGAAUUUCAGAAAUGUAAACUGCAGGAAAAGAAACACAGCAAAUUUCCAGAUGUCUGGGUUCCUUUUUUUUUCCUUUUGUAAAUGAUUUGGUUGGUUCUAUUUGGAAUGAAAGUUAACUGCCUAGAGGAUAAAAAUAUCCUCUUUUGUAGUUUUUACCUCGAACAGCAACAAGAACAUAUUAUGUGUUUUCAUGGAAAGAUCUAUUUUUAGAGAGAAUGCAAGCCACCCUCAGCCCUGUGAGUAAUAACUGUUUGGCACAAUGAUACUUACAAUAGAUAAUCACUCUAAGUCCUUCUUUGAAAG
rnacentral:lncRNA from 1 species